GUAACGGCGAGUGAAGCGGUAACAGCUCAAAUUUGAAAUCUGGCUCCUACGGAGUCCGAGUUGUAAUUUGUAGAAGAUGCUUUGGGUUGUGGGUUUGGCCUAAGUUCCUUGGAACAGGACGUCGCAGAGGGUGAGAAUCCCGUAUGUGGCCGAGGCCCGCGCCUAUGUAAAGCUCUUUCAACGAGUCGAGUUGUUUGGGAAUGCAGCUCAAAAUGGGUGGUAAAUUUCAUCUAAAGCUAAAUAUGGGCCAGAGACCGAUAGCGCACAAGUAGAGUGAUCGAAAGAUGAAAAGCACUUUGGAAAGAGAGUUAAACAGUACGUGAAAUUGUUGAAAGGGAAGCGCUUGCAACCAGACUUGGGCGCUGCCGAUCACCCCGAGUUCUCUCGGGUGCACUCGACCGCGCACAGGCCAGCAUCGGUUCGGGUGGCUGGAUAAAGGCCGUAGGAACGUGGCUCCCUCCGGGGAGUGUUAUAGCCUACGGUGCCAUGCAGCCCAGCCGGACCGAGGACCGCGCCUUCGGGCUAGGAUGCUGGCGUAAUGGUUGUAAGCGACCCGUCUUGAAACACGGACCAAGGAGUCUAACAUCUAUGCGAGUGUUUGGGUGGUAAACCCAUACGCGGAAUGAAAGUGAACGUAGGUGAGAACCCCUUUGGGGCGCAUCAUCGACCGAUCCUGAUGUCUUCGGAUGGAUUUGAGUAAGAGCAUAGCUGUUGGGACCCGAAAGAUGGUGAACUAUGCCUGAAUAGGGUGAAGCCAGAGGAAACUCUGGUGGAGGCUCGCAGCGGUUCUGACGUGC
rnacentral:rRNA from 1 species